rnacentral:rRNA from 1 species
AUGGCGCUUCUCAAGAGCAACCCAGAGGUUUUGUGCUUGGUGGCCCUUCUUGUGAUAUCUGCGACCUUCUUAUCAUGUGAUGCAUCCUACGGGGUUAGAGAUGGAGAAGGUUUUAACAAGUUCUGUGUGGGUUGGGACCAAGGCUGCAAGGACCCGGUGAAUGGAAUCCCUAGUCAGUGUCAGAUUUACUGCAGAGAUAUCGGUUUUGUCUUAGAAAAAGGCAAAUGUGCACCGGACAAUGGAAAGCCCAACCGCAUGUGCUGCUGCUACAAGUAG